UCUUCAGUGCUUUCGAGGGGCCUGGUAGACAGGUCUGGGCCCAAGGUACAGAUCUGGGCUUUUUGGGAGGACAGGUGUUUGAAGGCAUGGGAGAGACUUAGGUUACCCACAAGAAGAUCCAAAGAGUCAUAGGUGUGAGAGCUUUUUCAGUGGGUAUAUUGAGGAUGCUUAUAAGCUGAAAGAAAGUAGCCAGCAGAGGAAGGGUGUGAAGAUCUAGGAGAGGAAAUGAUUGCUCAUUUGUUUUCAAAAAGCUGAAUACUUAUUGUGUGCCUGGCCCUUUUCUAGGAUCUGGGGUUCACACCGUGUGUUAUCUCUUCUGCAAGGACAGUUCAACUCAUCCCCUGGUGAAGAGAAGUCAGAUUAUUCUUUGCAUCCCAUUCAGGUGUUGUGACAGAAAUAAAGUUUCCAGAAGUUGUGUUCCUGCAAUAAGAAAUAAAGAUGUGACCUUCCAGUUGUGUAAAGCUCAUGAAUGCUGUGUAAGUGCGUCGGGUGCAAUAAGGAACCUGGAGCUAAAUGGGCUAGUUCUGAGAGAGAGAGACUUAACUAUGUUAACAAAGGAAAUCCAUCUCCGUCCUUUGCGGGGGCAGUCCCGAGCUCAUGUUUUAACGGACGCGAAUGCAAACCGUGGUUCUCACGUGACUUUCUGAAGAGCCCCCGCAGCAGGCCCAGGUACCUUGAGUGGACUAAGUCUCACUUUAUGGCAAUGGCAUCAGAUGGUGGCUACAGAAGGUUGCCGACGUCCCUGUGUGCUCUGACAGGCUCUGCAGACCGGGGGACGAAAGGACCAAGGAACUCUGACCGCCCUCGGGAAUCCCAAGUGACUGGAGGGACAGCGCGUCAGGGCCCCAGGCAGUGUCGCCCACUGUUCCGGAGGCGGGCGGAGGCUCCGCAGCCUCAUUUCGUCCCGUCCCUUCCAGGAUUUAAAAUUGUUGUCAAGAUGCUGGGUUAACUCAGGCAGGUCUACAAAGGCGUCCCAAGCAGCAAACAUGUCUGUGAUGAAAUAGCCAAUGAAAGAGAUUUGGGAUUUGGGGAUGCUGCAGGUAUUUCUGUCAAAAACUGGCAUCACCACAGGCAAGUCCUGUCGCUUCUCUUCAUCAGUCUGAGAAAAACAUUCUUCUGAGAUACGUGCGGCCCACUCAAUGCACUGCUCCAGGGGUCGGCAGGGAUUGGACACAUCAGCACACUUAAUCAGUCAGGGUGAGUCACCCCAACUCUCCCUCCUCUGGAGCUUAGUUCCUCCUGAUUGUCACUCGUUACACUGAAAACAGAUUUCAGGAGUCAGCACGUGCAGCCAUAAUGUGUGCCUAAUUCCACAUCCCAGUCACUGGGACACAAAAUUUUGGUGUCUUAAGUCUGGCUCCCACAUCACCACUCACAUAUGUCAGUUCUUCCUCUACAGCUGAGUCAGUGAGUAAAGACACAUAAACAGAAGUAGAUUAAUACGAACAAGGUUUUAUUGACAUAUAUAUAUGUACAUAAAGCUGGGAAAGAGAAAGGCCCAUUGAGGCAAAUGCAUAGGGGGAGAGGAAGCAUCUGAAAACAGCAGUGGGCAUCCUGCCAGUUCCAAGUCUAGGGAAAACUUGGGUCCGCCAAGUUAACAGUCAAGCCAGGGAUGGCACAGUGGAUGAUACAGCCAGCUCUCUUCCAUUCUCCUAACUGGAGCUUCUCAAGUCUGGUGUAGUUCUGAAGUGGGCUCAUAUGCUCCUCACCCUCCAGCACACACAUACACACACAGACACACACACACACACACACACUUGCACACCCCUGAGGUGUGGUCCUCCGGCUUGCUGUAGGAAGAGAGGAGGUGAAGUUUCACUUCAAGGGGCUGAGCCACUUUCCAGUGAGGCAAGGUCCAUUCAUGGUGACACACAGUUUGCAGAAUAAGAUCUGCUCUUCAUUUGUUGAGUUUCUUCAUAGAAGAAAGGAAUUCGCUGGUGGCUCCUAUGAAGCCCUGGGCAGGUUAUGAGGCUGCCAGACUCCUAUGAGCACAGGCACAGCUGCCCUGACCAGGGGCCUGCAAACACAAUGCUGGCUCGUCUAAGUCAGAGGGGUGUCCUGACUCGGGGACCCCAGUGUUCUUCCUGAGAGUGGAGCUUCCUCUCUAAGUAUGGAUGCUGCUAUCCCCCAUGGCACCACCUGGGUUUUGACCAGGGGGGGCCUCAGGUGCUUUGUAUGAAUGUGGCACCAGAAGUGUAUCCAGUCACAGCAGGUGUGGUGCUGUCCCCCAUGCCCCCCCCCCCGGUUCUCUGCACAGAUGGGUUCCAAGUCUGAUGGCAGUUAUUGACACAGGGCCUCCCAGCACCGGUGAGAUGUUGUGCCCUCCAUCGGCACCACCUGUGUGUUGGCCAGCCCCCGUCUCCUCAGUGGGAGGUGACUGGAUGGUACCGGCUUCCUGACGUUGACUCCCUGCUCAGGGCAGAAGGCAGGCGCUGGAGCAGCAGGGUGGUCCCGGUCAGAUGUGGCAGCCUCCCAGGAGGGCAAAACCAGCGGGUGACAGCCCACCGGGGCCCCACGGCGGGGCGGGCGGCGGGGCCGGCGGCGGUGGCGGAGCCAGCUCGAGAGAGGGUAUAUUCAUCUGUGUUAAUCACUGCUGUGUUUCCUGAACAUGCCUACAAAUCAUACUGAAGAAUGGUGCCUGAAAUUUGGUAAGAGAUCAAUAAAUUUUCUUGGCUGAAUGAAGAAAUGUGUUCAUAAAUUAAUGAACAAAUCUUCAGGGCUUCUG